AGUGAACGCUGGCGGUAGGCCUAACACAUGCAAGUCGAACGGCAGCACAGGAGAGCUUGCUCUCUAGGUGGCGAGUGGCGGACGGGUGAGGAAUACAUCGGAAUCUGCCCAGUCGUGGGGGAUAACGUAGGGAAACUUACGCUAAUACCGCAUACGACCUUCGGGUGAAAGAGGGGGAUCGCAAGACCUCUCGCGAUUGGAUGAGCCGAUGUCGGAUUAGCUAGUUAGCGGGGUAAUGGCCCACCAAGGCGACGAUCCGUAGCUGGUCUGAGAGGAUGAUCGGCCAACUGGAAAUGGGAACACGUUCCGACUCCUUAGGGAGGCCACCGGUGGGAAUUUUUGACAAAGGGGGGAAGCCUUAUCCAAGCCUACCGGGGUGGUGGAGGAGGCCCUCGGGUUUUAAAGCCCCUUUUUUGGGAAAGAAAUCCUUCCGGCUAAUACCCUGGGAGGAUGACGGUACCCAAAGAAUAAGCACCGGCUAACUUCGUG
rnacentral:rRNA from 1 species